rnacentral:rRNA from 1 species
UAUCUCUGUAGAGUCUGCAUAUCAAUAAGCGGAGGAAAAGAAACUAACUAGGAUUCCCUCAGUAACGGCGAGUGAAGCGGGAAGAGCUCAAAUUUGAAAUCUUCAAGGUUCUACCUUGACGAAUUGUAGUUUAAAGAAGUGUUUUCUGUUGGAGUUUUGGUAAAAGUUCUUUGGAAUAGGACAUCAUAGAGGGUGAGAAUCCCGUAUGUGACCAUUAUUUCCAACUUUGUGAUACACUUUCAAAGAGUCGGAUUGUUUGGGAAUGCAGUCCAAAAUGGGUGGUAAAUUUCAUCUAAAGCUAAAUAUUGGCGAGAGACCGAUAGCGAACAAGUACCGUGAGGGAAAGAUGAAAAGAACUUUGAAAAGAGAGUUAAACAGUACGUGAAAUUGUCAAAAGGGAAGCGUUUGACACCAGUGUUGUUUUCUCGAAAAUCAAUUAAAAAAGAUUGGAUUUUGUGUUGUAUUGACUUUAUCAGCUUUCAGCACUCUUUUUCUUGUCUUUUUUAAUGCACUUUUCGUUUAACAAGUCAACAUCAAUUUCUUUUGUUGUAAAAGGGUCAUUGGAAGGUGGCUUUCUUUUCGGAGAAAGUGUUUAUAGCCUUUGGCCUCUGCAAUCGGAGAGAUUGAGGUCUGCAGCGUAGAUCCUUCGGGGUUAGAUACAUUUGUGCUAAGUUAUAGCCUUUCAUAGACAACUUGUUGACUAUGAUCAGUCAUGUAGCUUACUCGCUUAUGCUAUUUUACCUACGCUUAGGAUGUUGAUCUCUCACAGUCGAGC